AAUUUUUAAAGUAAUAGAUUAAGUGGAGUGUAAUGCGGAGGUUAUUGCUCCAACAGGAUAUUUUAAAGAAUGUGUUAACUAUAAAUACUCGUGGGUUGGGAUAAAAUUUCAGUGACAACAUCAACACAUUACUCAAAAAAGCUCUUCCUGCUCACUUGGGCAGCUCAUCCACUAAAACUGGGAUGAUUCAGAGAAAGUAAGUAUGGACCUUGCACAAGGACAAUAUUCAAAGUCAGGAAGUAGUCUAUUUUUUUUAGACACUAAAUAGACAAUACAACCAAAUGAACCUUGAAUGGACCCUGGACCAAAAUAAACAAAUGAGGGUAACUGAAGAAAUUUGACUAUAUACUGUGUAUUAGAUAUUAUGGAGUUAUUAAUUUUCUUACAUAUUAUACGGGUAUUAUGGUCACAUAAGUGAAUGUCCUUACUUUAGGAAAAAAUAUGCUACAGUAUUUAGGGGGAAAGGGUCAUAAUGUCCCAACUUGCUUACAAAUGGCUCACCAAAAGAUGUUUCUUUAUAUAUAUACACAUAACACACAUACAUAUCUUUAUACAUACAUAUAUACAUAUAAUACACAUAUACAUAUAAAACACAUACACAUGAAGAAAACUAAAAAGAUUAGCAACUGGUGAAUCUGGGCAAAGGCACAUGGUGUUCAACUUAUCUACAGAUUUGAAAUUUUUUAAAUCAAUCAGUUGAAGAAAAGCAGUACUUCUAAGUUGUCCUGUUGUGUGAUUUUGAAUAGACUUAUCCAAUUACAUUAACCAAUAUAAGUUUAUAUCUAUCUCAUGUUCAUGCGUACAAGUUUGUAUAUUCAAACUGAGGACACAUCUAAAAAUGGAAAAAUAAGCAGCAAGGUAAGGGAAGCACAAUAACUGCAGACGGAAUAAAAAAUGUUUGCCACUGGGAAGCAAGAAAUCUUUGGUAGAGAAAGAUGGGUGGUACUGGUAGUGUGUGUGUGUGUGUGUGUGUGCGUUGUGUGUGAGUGAAAUGGUACAGAAUAGAGAACUGUUUUCUGUUCUUACUUUAUAAGCCUUAUAAAACUAAUUUAUCAAAUUAUAUGUAUGCAUAACUUUUUUUUUUUGAGACAGUCUCACUCUGCCACCCAGGCUGGAGUGCAGUGGUGCAAUCUCAGCUCACUGCAACCUGUCUGCCUCCCAGGUUCAAGCAAUUCUCCUGCCUCAGCCUCCUGAGUAGCUGGGACUACAGGCAUGUGCUACCAUGCCCGGCUACUUUUUUUUAAUUUUUAUUAGAGACGGGUUUUCACCAUGUUGGUCAGGCUGGUCUCGAACUCCUCAAAUGAUCCCCUGCCUCGGCCUCCCAAAGUGUUAGGAUUAUAGGCGUGAGCCACAACUUUAAUGUUUUUAAAAAUUCAAUUAAAAGAAUUGUUUUACUUUGCAUCCUUGUUCUUACCAAUUCCCUAGUUUCCUUUUAUUUCAUACUGUUUUAAUGCUUUACUUAACAUUAGAAGAAAUAAAAUGAGGUUGAUCA
rnacentral:lncRNA from 10 species